rnacentral:rRNA from 1 species
AUUGAACGCUGGCGGCAUGCCUUACACAUGCAAGUCGAACGGCAGCACGGGAGCAAUCCUGGGGGCGAGUGGCGAACGGGUGAGUAAAGUAUCGGAACGUGCCCAGUCGUGGGGGAUAACGUAGCGAAAGUUACGCUAAUACCGCAUACGAUCUAUGGAUGAAAGCGGGGGAUCGCAAGACCUCGCGCGAUUGGAGCGGCCGAUAUCAGAUUAGGUAGUUGGUGGGGUAAAGGCUCACCAAGCCGACGAUCUGUAGCUGGUCUGAGAGGACGACCAGACACACUGGGACUGAGACACGGCCCAGCCUCCUACGGGAGGCAGCAGUGGGGAAUUUUGGACAAUGUGCGAAAGCGUGAUCCAGCCAUGCCGCGUGCAGGAUGAAGGCCUUCGGGUUGUAAACUGCUUUUGUACGGAACGAAAAGGUUUGGCCUAAUAAGCUGAGCUCAUGACGGUACCGUAAGAAUAAGCACCGGCUAACUACGUGCCAGCCGCCGCAGUAA